UCGGGAAUUUUGGGCAAUGGGCGAAAGCCUGACCCAGCAACGCCGCGUGAGGGAUGAAGUAUUUCGGUAUGUAAACCUCGAAAGAAUGGGAAGAAUAAAUGACGGUACCAUUUAUAAGCUCCGGCUAACUACGUGCCAGCAGCCGCGGUAAUACGUAGGGAGCAAGCGUUGUUCGGAUUUACUGGGCGUAAAGGGCGCGUAGGCGGCGCGGUAAGUCACUUGUGAAAUCUCUGAGCUUAACUCAGAACGGCCAAGUGAUACUGCUGUGCUAGAGUGCGGAAGAGGCAACCGGAAUUCUUGGUGUAGCGGUGAAAUGCGUAGAUAGCAAGAGGAACACCUGAGGCGAAGGCGGGUUGCUGGGCCGACACUGACGCUGAUGCGCGAAAGCCAGGGGAGCAAACG
rnacentral:rRNA from 1 species